CAUGGUCGACCCCUGCGUGACAAACGACCCACGGGCACCCGUGCCAGUGAGCCCCAUGAAUGCCGCCUCCUUUGUGGCCGGCCAGAGUCCGUUCAAGCUGGGUGGGGCGCCGUGAGGUGGGUGGUGGUCUGUGACCUCUGCUGAGAUGGCGACUGUGACAGCGUGCCGGGAGCAGGGCGCAGCAGAGGCCGCCCACCCAGCAGUGAGCUGGGACCCUCCUUGGGCCGCCGACCGGCAGAACCUGGGUGGGGACCUUGGCCGCCUGGCGUCUCGCGGGCUUCGAGUGGGAGGCGGGGUAACGGUAGUGCCCCCCUGCACGGCCAGCUGCAGCACUCACCCCAGCACUGGAGGGGGCGGGAGCCAGCUUGGGAAUCAGAUCCCAACUCCACUGAUUCCCAGCCCCGGCGCCUUGGGCAGGCGGCCCUUUCCUUUAGGAGUUUGUUUUGCCCCGAUAACAUGCCCGUUAACCUGCAGGUCACAGGCUUCUGAGGAGAGCGGUGCACGGGCCCAGCGAGCGGGGACCUGGCGGGGCUCCCGGAGAUGAGCACAGCAUGCGGAAAUGACGCCUGCUGAGGUGAGAACUUCUUCACUGGGAGGCUGAAAACCACGCUGGCACAGGAGGGCCUCAUUCACAGAACGUUCCGGCACUUAAGGCCCUCCCAUCCUUCUGUGGCCCCCUCACUGCCCUCCGCCUGCUCCCAGGAGGCUAAGCGGGCCCCAGCCUGGCCUGGAGGACUGAAGCAGGCUGAGUGUCCAGGAAGCAGCUUCUACGGUCUCAGGUGAAGAAACAGAGGAUCCCAGAGAAACAGUGAGUAGCCCCAGGUGACCCAGAGAGGAAGUGACGGUCAGAUGGCAAAUCCAGUUAUGGCCAUCAGGCCACAGGGAUACAAAUCCCAACUUGGGAUGAGACACUGCUACUCACUUUCUGCAGCUCUUCAGCAAACGGGUGGCCUUUUUCUGCGACUAAUUCCACAGCAAACCUGUGAGGAAAAAGAAAAGAAUCUGCGUCUCACAUCAUGUCUGUGGGCCCUAAUUCAGCUCUGACACCACAGGGUUAUUUUUCUUGCUGACAGUGAGAACAUCAUAACCUUUCGUUUGGUUAGGGGUGUUUGUUGCUCAAAAUGCCUUUUCUUAUACUCAUUACUCAUCCAGUCAACACUUCCUUUCUCAUUGCCUACUCUGGCCAGGUCCAGGCAAUUCAGCAUGAGUACAAGGGACACAGGCUCUGUUCGGCAGGAGGCCGAGGCGUGAAUCGGGUAUCACACGACUGAAUGUGAAGUUGCAAACUGAGGUCAGCUCUCUGGAGGAAAGGGCCAGGGUCCUGGGAACCUUGGCCUUGGCUGGAGUUCAGGGAGGGCUUCCUGGAGGAAGCAGUGCUGGAAGUGGGACUUUGAAGGCUGAGUAGGAGUUCCUGGUAAGGCAGGUGGGACGGGAAAAGCCAAGCGCCCCAGACGCAGGUCAGGACCCCAGCUCCAGCCUCCCUCCAAACUCUGCCACU